rnacentral:rRNA from 1 species
UGGGGAAUAUUGGGCAAUGGGCGAAAGCCUGACCCAGCGACGCCGCGUGGGUGAUGAAGGCCUUCGGGUUGUAAAACCCUUUCGUGCGGAAAGAAUAGUCCUGUAGCGAAUAACUACGGGAUUUGACGGUACCGCAGGAAGAAGCACCGGCUAACUCCGUGCCAGCAGCCGCGGUAAUACGGAGGGUGCAAGCGUUGUUCGGAAUUAUUGGGCGUAAAGGGCGCGUAGGUGGUUGUGAUAGUCAGAUGUGAAAUCCUUCGGCUCAACCGAAGAACUGCAUCUGAAACUUCAUAGCUCGAGUACAGGAGAGGGAAACGGAAUUCCCGGUGUAGAGGUGAAAUUCGUAGAUAUCGGGAGGAACACCAGUGGCGAAGGCGGUUUCCUGGCCUGAUACUGACGCUGAGGCGCGAAAGCGUGGGGAGCAAACAGG